rnacentral:rRNA from 1 species
UACGUAGGGACCAAGCGUUGUUCGGAUUUACUGGACGUAAAGGGCGCGUAGGCGGCAAUUCAAGUCAGUUGUGAAAUCUCCGAGCUUAACUCGGAACGGUCAACUGAUACUGCUUUGCUAGAGUGCAGAAAGGGCAACCGGAAUUCUUGGUGUAGCGGUGAAAUGCGUAGAUAUCAAGAGGAACACCUGAGGCGAAGGCGGGUUGCUAGGCUGACACUGACGCUGAAGCGCGAAAGCUAGGGUAGCAAACGGG